GAAAUGCGAUAAGUAAUGUGAAUUGCAGAAUUCAGUGAAUCAUCGAAUCUUUGAACGCACCCUGCGCUCCUUGGUAUUCCUUGGAGCAUGCCUGUUUGAGUAUCAUGAAAUCUUCAAAGUAAAUCUUUUGUUAACUCAAUUGGUUUCUACUUUGGUAUUGGAGGUCUUUGCAGCUUCACACCUGCUCCUCUUUGUUCAUUAGCUGGAUCUCAGUGUUAUGCUUGGUUCCACUCGGCGUGAUAAGUUAUCUAUCGCUGAGGACACUGUAAAAGGUGGCCAAGGUAAAUGCAGAUGAACCGCUUCUAAUAGUCCAUUGACUUGGACAAUACUUUUAUGAUCUGAUCUCAAAUCAGGUAGGACUACCCGCUGAACUUAAGC
rnacentral:misc_RNA from 1 species